UACGAGGGGGGCGAGCGUUGUCCGGAAUUAUUGGGCGUAAAGGGCGCGUAGGCGGUGCGGUAAGUCACCUGUGAAACCUCUGGGCUUAACUCAGAGCCUGCAGGCGAAACUGCCGUGCUGGAGUGUGGGAGAGGUGCGUGGAAUUCCCGGUGUAGCGGUGAAAUGCGUAGAUAUCAAGAGGAACACCUGAGGUGAAGACGGGUUGCUGGGCCGACACUGACGCUGAUGCGCGAAAGCCAGGGGAGCAAACGGG
rnacentral:rRNA from 1 species